rnacentral:rRNA from 1 species
CUACGGGAGGCAGCAGUGAGGAAUAUUGGUCAAUGGGCGAAAGCCUGAACCAGCGACGCCGCGUGGGUGAAGAAGGUCUUCGGAUCGUAAAGCCCUUUUCUGUGUGACGAGUAAGGACGGUAGCACAGGAAUAAGUCUCGGCUAACUACGUGCCAGCAGCCGCGGUAAAACGUAGGAGACAAGCGUUAUCCGGAGUUACUGGGCGUAAAGGGCGUGCAGGCGGUUGACUAAGUUCGUCGUGAAAUCGCCCGGCUUAACCGGGCGGGGUCGAUGAAUACUGGUGAACUAGAGGACGGUAGAGGCGUGUGGAAUUCCGGGUGUAGUGGUGAAAUGCGUAGAUAUCCGGAGGAACACCAGUGGCGAAAGCGACACGCUGGGCCGUACCUGACGCUAAGACGCGACAGCAUGGGGAGCGAACGGGAUUAGAAACCCUUGUAGUCC